rnacentral:misc_RNA from 1 species
UACGGAGGGGGCGAGCGUUAUUCGGAAUUAUUGGGCGUAAAGGGCGCGUAGGCGGCCAUGCAAGUCAGGGGUGAAAUCCCUCGGCUCAACCGAGGAACUGCCUCUGAAACUGCAUGGCUUGAGGCCGGGAGAGGGUGGUGGAAUUCCUAGUGUAGCGGUGAAAUGCGUAGAUAUUAGGAGGAACACCAGUGGCGAAGGCGACCACCUGGACCGGAUCUGACGCUGAGGCGCGAAAGUGUGGGGAGCAAACAGG